CUAUCUACAGGCUUAACACAUGCAAGUCGAGGGGCAGCAUGGUCUUAGCUUGCUAAGGCCGAUGGCGACCGGCGCACGGGUGAGUAACACGUAUCCAACCUGCCGUCUACUCUUGGACAGCCUUCUGAAAGGAAGAUUAAUACAAGAUGGCAUCAUGAGUCCGCAUGUUCACAUGAUUAAAGGUAUUCCGGUAGACGAUGGGGAUGCGUUCCAUUAGAUAGUAGGCGGGGUAACGGCCCACCUAGUCUUCGAUGGAUAGGGGUUCUGAGAGGAAGGUCCCCCACAUUGGAACUGAGACACGGUCCAAACUCCUACGGGAGGCAGCAGUGAGGAAUAUUGGUCAAUGGGCGAGAGCCUGAACCAGCCAAGUAGCGUGAAGGAUGACUGCCCUAUGGGUUGUAAACUUCUUUUAUAAAGGAAUAAAGUCGGGUAUGGAUACCCGUUUGCAUGUACUUUAUGAAUAAGGAUCGGCUAACUCCGUGCCAGCAGCCGCGGUAAUACGGAGGAUCCGAGCGUUAUCCGGAUUUAUUGGGUUUAAAGGGAGCGUAGAUGGAUGUUUAAGUCAGUUGUGAAAGUUUGCGGCUCAACCGUAAAAUUGCAGUUGAUACUGGAUAUCUUGAGUGCAGUUGAGGCAGGCGGAAUUCGUGGUGUAGCGGUGAAAUGCUUAGAUAUCACGAAGAACUCCGAUUGCGAAGGCAGCCUGCUAAGCUGCAACUGACAUUGAGGCUCGAAAGUGUGGGUAUCAAACAGGAUUAGAUACCCUGGUAGUCCACACGGUAAACGAUGAAUACUCGCUGUUUGCGAUAUACUGCAAGCGGCCAAGCGAAAGCGUUAAGUAUUCCACCUGGGGAGUACGCCGGCAACGGUGAAACUCAAAGGAAUUGACGGGGGCCCGCACAAGCGGAGGAACAUGUGGUUUAAUUCGAUGAUACGCGAGGAACCUUACCCGGGCUUAAAUUGCAGAUGAAUUACGGUGAAAGCCGUAAGCCGCAAGGCAUCUGUGAAGGUGCUGCAUGGUUGUCGUCAGCUCGUGCCGUGAGGUGUCGGCUUAAGUGCCAUAACGAGCGCAACCCUUGUUGCCAGUUACUAACAGGUUCCGCUGAGGACUCUGACAAGACUGCCAUCGUAAGAUGUGAGGAAGGUGGGGAUGACGUCAAAUCAGCACGGCCCUUACGUCCGGGGCUACACACGUGUUACAAUGGGGGGUACAGAGGGCCGCUACCACGCGAGUGGAUGCCAAUCCCCAAAACCUCUCUCAGUUCGGACUGGAGUCUGCAACCCGACUCCACGAAGCUGGAUUCGCUAGUAAUCGCGCAUCAGCCACGGCGCGGUGAAUACGUUCCCGGGCCUUGUACACACCGCCCGUCAAGCCAUGGGAGCCGGGGGUACCUGAAGUGCGUAACCGCGAGGAGCGCCCUAGGGUAAAACUGGUGACUGGGGCUA
rnacentral:rRNA from 1 species